AGCAUAUCAAUAAGCGGAGGAAAAGAAACUAACAAGGAUUCCCCUAGUAACUGCGAGUGAAGCGGGAAAAGCUCAAAUUUGAAAUCUGGCAGUCUUUGAUUGUCCGAGUUGUAAUCUAGAGAAGUGUUACCCGCGUUGGACCGUGUACAAGUCUCCUGGAAUGGAGCGUCAUAGAGGGUGAGAAUCCCGUCUUUGACACGGACUGCCAAGGCUUUGUGGUGCGCUCUCAAAGAGUCGAGUUGUUUGGGAAUGCAGCUCAAAAUGGGUGGUAAAUGCCAUCUAAAGCUAAAUACAGGCGAGAGACCGAUAGCGAACAAGUACCGUGAGGGAAAGAUGAAAAGAACUUUGGAAAGAGAGUUAAACAGUACGUGAAAUUGCUGAAAGGGAAACGCUUGAAGUCAGUCGCGUUGGCCGGGAAUCAACCUUACUUUUGUUGGGUGUACUUUCUAGUCGACGGGUCAGCAUCAGUUUUGACCAGUGGAUAAAGGCGUAGGAAAUGUGGCAUCUUCGGAUGUGUUAUAGUCCUGCGUUGUAUACAUUGGUUGGGACUGAGGAACUCAGCACGCCGCAAGGCCGGGGUUCGCCCACGUUCGUGCUUAGGAUGCUGGCAUAAUGGCUUUAAUCGACCCGUCUUGAAACACGGACCAAGGAGUYUAACAUGCCUGCGAGUGUUUGGGUGGAAAACCCGAGCGCGUAAUGAAAGUGAAAGUUGAGAUCCCUGUCGUGGGGAGCAUCGACGCCCGGACCAGACCUUUUGUGACGGAUCCGCGGUAGAGCAUGUAUGUUGGGACCCGAAAGAUGGUGAACUAUGCCUGAAUAGGGUGAAGCCAGAGGAAACUCUGGUGGAGGCUCGUAGCGAUUCUGACGUGCAAAUCGAUCGUCAAAUUUGGGUAUAGGGGCGAAAGACUAAUCGAUC
rnacentral:rRNA from 1 species